UGGUUCGUAACUCAAAUGGAACAGAGUACCGGUCUUUUACACCGGGAGUUGGGAGUUCGAGCCUCCCCGGGCCAA
rnacentral:tRNA from 3 species